AUUUAAUUUUAGUUUUAUUAUUAUUUUUUUUAUUAUUUAUUUUAAUUGAAAUAACUUAUUUGUUUAGUAUAUUUUAUUGAAUUUCUUAUUUUAAUUAUAGUUUAUAUGUACUGUGGAGGGUUAAUUGAAAUUUCUUGGAAGUAUAAUUUUUUUUAGUACCUUUUGUAUCAGGGUUUAUUAAAUUUAUAUUAUUUAUUAUAAUUUUCCCGAAGUUAAAAGAGUUAAAUUUAAAUGUAAUUUUAUGUUAUAUAAUAAUUUAUAAUUUAAAUUUAGGGGUUAUAUGCUAUUCAUUUUUAAAUAUCUGGUUUUCUAAUAAAUGAAUUUAAUUCAGGAUUGCUUAGUGUUAUUUUAUUAAUUUAUUUUAUUGUAAUUAAGUAAUUUAAUGUGUUUGGGGAUUAGCUCAAAUGUAUUUUUAUAAUUUUAUUGUAUUUUGGAUGCUGUAGGCUUAAUAAUAGCCAUCAAUGAUUUUGUUAUAAUUCAUUCUAGUAUUGUGGUUUAUUUAUUUUAUUUGUUUAAUUUUUUAUUAGAAUUAUUUAUUUAAUUUUAUAUUUUAUGUAAUAAUGGUAAAAUUAGUAGUAUUGUUAUUUUAUUUAUAGUAAUUCGGCAAAUUUGCUCUUCGCCUGUUUAACAAAAACAUGUCUUAUAGAAUUUAAUUUUAGGUUUGACCUGCUCAAUGAUUAAAAUUAAAUAGCCGCAGUAUAUUAACUGUGCAAAGGUAGCAUAAUCAUUUGUUCUUUAAUUGGGGGCUUGUAUGAAUGGUUGGACGAGAGAGUUACUUUCUUUAUUUAAUUUUAUUAAUUUAAUUUUUUAGUGAAAAAGCUAAAAUUUUGUUGUGGGACGAGAAGACCCUAUAGAAUUUUAUUUAUUAGAAAUUAAUAAUUUUAAUUUUAAUAAUUUAUUUUUGUCUUUUAAAUUUGGUUGGGGUGAUUGUGGAAUUUAAUUAACUUCCAUUAUUUGUUUUUCAUUAAUUAAUGUUAUUUUUGAUCCUUUAUUAUGGAUUAUAAGAUUAAAUUACCUUAGGGAUAACAGCGUAAUUUCUUUGGAGAGUUCUUAUUGAUGAAGGAGUUUGCGACCUCGAUGUUGGAUUAAAGUUAAUUUAAGGUGUAGAAGCUUUAAUGUUAGGUCUGUUCGACCUUUAAAUCUUUACAUGAUCUGAGUUCAAACCGGCGUGAGCCAGGUUGGUUUCUAUCUACAAUUUUUAUUAUGAUAUUUUAGUACGAAAGGACCAUUUAUCAGUAAUAUUUAUUUAUUUAAUGAUUAUUAUU
rnacentral:rRNA from 1 species